rnacentral:lncRNA from 1 species
GUGUAGUGAUGACAUUUCUAUGAUAAUAUGGUAAUAUUAUAGUUUGUAGUGAUGAAUGAUUUUUCUAUAUUGACAUGUGGUAUUAUGAUGCUUUUGCUAUGAGAUUAUAUCUUUUUGCUAUGAAUGCCAAUUUAUUCAGAGUAUGUAUCUGUACGGUAUGUUGUGAUUAAUGUAUGCAACUGUCAGUGUUAUGUAUUUACUUC